ACGUGCUGCAUGGGCGCAGCCUGAUGCAGCGACGCCGCGUGAGGGAUGAAGGCCUUCGGGUUGUAAACCUCUUUCAGUAGGGAAGAAGCGAAAGUGACGGUACCUGCAGAAGAAGCGCCGGCUAACUACGUGCCAGCAGCCGCGGUAAUACGUAGGGCGCAAGCGUUAUCCGGAAUUAUUGGGCGUAAAGAGCUCGUAGGCGGUUUGUCGCGUCUGCCGUGAAAGUCCGGGGCUUAACUCCGGAUCUGCGGUGGGUACGGGCAGACUUGAGUGAUGUAGGGGAGACUGGAAUUCCUGGUGUAGCGGUGAAAUGCGCAAAUAUCAGGAGGAACACCGAUGGCGAAGGCAGGUCUCUGGGCAUUAACUGACGCUGAGGAGCGAAAGCAUGGGGAGCGAACAGGAUUAGAUACCCUGGUAGUCCAUGCCGUAAACGUUGGGCACUAGGUGUGGGGGACAUUCCACGUUUUCCGCGCCGUAGCUAACGCAUUAAGUGCCCCGCCUGGGGAGUACGGCCGCAAGGCUAAAACUCAAUGAAAUUGACGGA
rnacentral:rRNA from 1 species